UCAGCACACGCGCAGAAGCCAGCAGAGGCGUGCCGUCCCGGCCUGGCCGCGGCCGGUGGCGGCGCCAUUUGGCUCAAUCUAUCCCACCCGCCGUCCGGCGAGCAAGGAGCGUUUUCAUGGCACACGGGAUCGAAUUGAAAAUUUCGUCCAAUUGGGAGACGACGGCGAGGCAGCCGGCCGCCGUCCGCUGACAGCGACGACCGUCUCGCGUCGCGUGCGCAUCCGGACGACGACGACGACGACGCGUUUAAGCAAAAGCUGCUACGCGUUUCAAUUCUUUUUCUUUCUUUUUUUAAUCAAAAACGCGUGGGCGGCCGGUUCUAUAUAAUCUGCAGGGACCAGAUGCUGGAUCAGAUCAUAGUUCUUGCUUUGACACACGCAUCAUCCAUCCGGCAAAACAGUGUGCUAGCAGCUGAUCAAUCGAUCGAAUCCAUCCAUCCGUCAUGAGCUACCAAGCAGGCUACCCGCCGCCGGGCCAGCAGGCCUACGGCGGCGCGCCCCCGCCGCCGGCCUACGUCGCGCCGCCGCCGGCGUACCCGCCCACCCAGGAUGGCGGGUACCAGCAGCAGCAGCAGCCGGAGACCACCAGCCGCGGCGGCGACGGCUUCUGGAAAGGAUGCUGCGCCGCCGUCUGCUGCUGCUGCCUCCUCGACAUGUGCUUCUGAGGACGACGACGAGUGGCGACACCAGCUAGUUGCUCAUCACGAUGAUUCAUUGCUCAAUUUGUGUGGUUGUACCUUUGUUCAGUUGUUAUUGUUCCAUUUAUUGGUAGUAUGACUACUAGGAGCGUCACGGGUGAUUUGUUGAUUUCGAGUAUGUGCUGGCUCAAUGUUUUGAAGGUGUUUGUAGCGGUAGAAUGAUGUGUGUAUUUACCAGAGUGAGUGUACGUGCGUGUUUGCGAGUUUCUACGUGUGUUUCUAUAAAAAAAAAAUUCACAGGGCACCGGGAUGAAUGGCAUGUGUGUACGUCUGGCUCUGUAGUCCACUACGUGUACAAACUUCUUUUUAAAAGAAUUUUCUCUUAA